AGAGUUUGAUCNUGGCUCAGGAUGAACGCUAGCGGCAGGCUUAACACAUGCAAGUCGAGGGGUAUAGUUCUUCGGAGCUAGAGACCGGCGCACGGGUGCGUAACGCGUAUGCAAUCUACCUUUUACAGAGGGAUAGCCCAGAGAAAUUUGGAUUAAUACCUCAUAGUAUGUGAGAAUCGCAUGGUUUUCACAUUAAAGUCACAACGGUAAAAGAUGAGCAUGCGUCCCAUUAGCUAGAUGGUAAGGUAACGGCUUACCAUGGCAACGAUGGGUAGGGGUCCUGAGAGGGAGAUCCCCCACACUGGUACUGAGACACGGACCAGACUCCUACGGGAGGCAGCAGUGAGGAAUAUUGGACAAUGGGCGCAAGCCUGAUCCAGCCAUGCCGCGUGCAGGAUGACGGUCCUAUGGAUUGUAAACUGCUUUUGUACAGGAAGAAACACUCCCUCGUGAGGGAGCUUGACGGUACUGUAAGAAUAAGGAUCGGCUAACUCCGUGCCAGCAGCCGCGGUAAUACGGAGGAUCCAAGCGUUAUCCGGAAUCAUUGGGUUUGAAGGGUCCGUAGGCGGUUUAAUAAGUCAGUGGUGAAAGCCCAUCGCUCAACGGUGGAACGGCCAUUGAUACUGUUAAACUUGAAUUAUUAGGAAGUAACUAGAAUAUGUAGUGUAGCGGUGAAAUGCUUAGAGAUUACAUGGAAUACCAAUUGCGAAGGCAGGUUACUACUAAUGGAUUGACGCUGAUGGACGAAAGCGUGGGUAGCGAACAGGAUUAGAUACCCUGGUAGUCCACGCCGUAAACGAUGGAUACUAGCUGUUGGGAGCAAUCUCAGUGGCUAAGCGAAAGUGAUAAGUAUCCCACCUGGGGAGUACGUUCGCAAGAAUGAAACUCA
rnacentral:rRNA from 1 species